GUGCCCUACGGGGGCAGCAGUGGGGGAUAUUGCACAAUGGGGGAAACCCUGAUGCAGCGACGCCGCGUGGGUGAAGAAGCGCCUCGGCGCGUAAAGCCCUGUCAGCAGGGAAGAAAAUGACGGUACCUGAAGAAGAAGCCCCGGCUAACUACGUGCCAGCAGCCGCGGUAAUACGUAGGGGGCAAGCGUUAUCCGGAUUUACUGGGUGUAAAGGGGGCGCAGACGGCGAUGCAAGCCAGGAGUGAAAGCCCGGGGCCCCACCCCGGGACUGCUCUUGGAACUGCGUGGCUAGAGUGCAGGAGGGG
rnacentral:rRNA from 1 species